CCUACGGGUGGCAGCAGUGAGGAAUAUUGGUCAAUGGCCGAGAGCCUGAACCAGCCAAGUCGCGUGAAGGAAGACUGCCCUACGGGUUGUAAACUUCUUUUAUCAAGGAAUAAAGUGAGGCCCGUGUGCCUUUUUGUAUGUACUUUAUGAAUAAGGAUCGGCUAACUCCGUGCCAGCAGCCGCGGUAAUACGGAGGAUCCGAGCGUUAUCCGGAUUUAUUGGGUUUAAAGGGAGCGUAGGUGGGAUGUGAAGUCAGUGGGUAAAGUUGUGGGGUCAACCAUAGAAUUGCCGUUGAAACUGGGGGCCUUGAGUGUGUGAGAGGCAGGCGGAAUGCGUGGUGUAGCGGUGAAAUGCGUAGAUAUCACGAAGAACACCGAUUGCGAAGGCAGCCUACCGGGCCAUGACUGACGCUGAUGCACGAAAGCGUGGGGAUCAAACAGGAUUAGAUACCCUUGUAGUC
rnacentral:rRNA from 1 species